CGAGCGAGCUUGCCUAGAUGAUUUUAGUGCUUGCACUAAAUGAAACUAGAUACAAGCGAGCGGCGGACGGGUGAGUAACACGUGGGUAACCUGCCCAAGAGACUGGGAUAACACCUGGAAACAGAUGCUAAUACCGGAUAACAACACUAGACGCAUGUCUAGAGUUUGAAAGAUGGUUCUGCUAUCACUCUUGGAUGGACCUGCGGUGCAUUAGCUAGUUGGUAAGGUAACGGCUUACCAAGGCAAUGAUGCAUAGCCGAGUUGAGAGACUGAUCGGCCACAUUGGGACUGAGACACGGCCCAGACUCCUACGGGAGGCAGCAGUAGGGAAUCUUCCACAAUGGACGAAAGUCUGAUGGAGCAACGCCGCGUGAGUGAAGAAGGGUUUCGGCUCGUAAAGCUCUGUUGGUAGUGAAGAAAGAUAGAGGUAGUAACUGGCCUUUAUUUGACGGUAAUUACUUAGAAAGUCACGGCUAACUACGUGCCAGCAGCCGCGGUAAUACGUAGGUGGCAAGCGUUGUCCGGAUUUAUUGGGCGUAAAGCGAGUGCAGGCGGUUCAAUAAGUCUGAUGUGAAAGCCUUCGGCUCAACCGGAGAAUUGCAUCAGAAACUGUUGAACUUGAGUGCAGAAGAGGAGAGUGGAACUCCAUGUGUAGCGGUGGAAUGCGUAGAUAUAUGGAAGAACACCAGUGGCGAAGGCGGCUCUCUGGUCUGCAACUGACGCUGAGGCUCGAAAGCAUGGGUAGCGAACAGGAUUAGAUACCCUGGUAGUCCAUGCCGUAAACGAUGAGUGCUAAGU
rnacentral:rRNA from 1 species